rnacentral:lncRNA from 1 species
UUUGAGGGCUUCAAUAUCUGGAAUAUGAUUGGAAUGAACUCUCAAUUGCUUCGCCGAUGAAACACGGAGGUACCUGCUUUUGCAAAAAAAAAUAAAAAAAAUCAUGGAGGAAUGAAUAUUUGAUGGAUUGAGUCUUGGAGCAAAAGAAAGGAGUUUUGGAGCUGAUUCGGUACAAAAAUACGAAGAUUCGGAGACAAAAAUAUAUCUCCCUCAAGUCAGAAACUUGGCAUGGCCCGUGCUAGGCUUGGCACGGCCGUGCCACCCU